rnacentral:rRNA from 1 species
GUGAGGAAUAUUGCGCAAUGGAGGCAACUCUGACGCAGCCAUGCCGCGUGAAUGAUGAAGGUCUUAGGAUUGUAAAAUUCUUUCACCGGGGACGAUAAUGACGGUACCCGGAGAAGAAGCUCCGGCUAACUUCGUGCCAGCAGCCGCGGUAAUACGAAGGGGGCUAGCGUUGCUCGGAAUUACUGGGCGUAAAGCGCACGUAGGCGGACCGGAAAGUCCGAGGUGAAAUCCCAGGGCUCAACCUUGGAACUGCCUUUGAAACUCCUGGUCUUGAGGUCGAGAGAGGUGAGUGGAAUUCCGAGUGUAGAGGUGAAAUUCGUAGAUAGUCGGAGGAACACCAGUGGCGAAGGCGGCUCACUGGCUCGAUACUGACGCUGAGGUGCGAAAGCGUGGGGAGCAAACAGGAUUAGAAACCCGUGUAGUCC